GUUUUAAUAAUUUAAUAAUAAAAUAUUGGUUUUGUAAACCAAAAAUAAGNAAAACUUUUAAAACU
rnacentral:tRNA from 1 species